rnacentral:rRNA from 1 species
CAUCUGAUGCCAGAACCAAGAGAUCCGUUGUUGAGAAGUUAGUAAUAUUUAAUAUUAA